CAGGAAGAGGAUUAAGGGUUUUGUUUUCCUCAACUGAGGCGUGGGUCUGAAGUGUUGGAAUGCUCAGGAUGUCAAUGGCUGUCAGAUGUCAGGAUAACCGAGAAGAUAAAUGAAUGGUUGAGACCCCGUGGCCUCCUCCCAGAAUUCUCAGCUGCUCCGCUGUGGAAAUGGUAUGUUUACUUUCUGUGUCUCCUUCAACAGUCUCUCUGAAGCCAAUCUUACGGUCCUGUGACUGGGCAACAAGCAAGUUCUUCUAGAACUUGGUGAGCAGAAUUUUUAUUUAGGAGCGUAGCUGUCUGUGUCUUUGUAGUUGAUAUCCUGUUAUCUAUGAAUUAAUUGUGUGAACUUUCUGAGGUUUGUGCUGUCUGGUAUAAUAAUUAAUGUGCAAUACUUCUCUUAAGAAGUUUAUUUGCUUGCAGUUAAGGACAUAGGGACAGUUUAUUUUGAGUCCUAAUUUUUACAUUGCCAAGUCUUCUAAUUUGUUCUCUAAGAUUUCUUUUGGGAAUUUCAUUUUUUUUCUUUGAGAAUUUGUGGAAACACAUUUGUCCUUGAAUUUUAUGUAUUUUAUAUUUUCAAAUUUUAUGUUUCAUGACUAAAUCCUAUUUCAUAUCUUAUUGUAAUGUGUUUAUGUUUUAGGCCUUCUAGAACAUUAAUAUUUUGGGUAUAUUACUCUAAAACCACGAAUUAGACUUUGCAUAUUUUCUUGAAGGUUACAAAAAAUCGUUCUUAAAAAUCAGAGAAAGGUAUAUAUAGACUUUGUUUACAAGCUCUGAAAGUGUUUUCUGGCUUUGGGUCACUCCUGACUUAGUGCAUUAAUAAAAAAGAACAACUUGUACUCUUAGCUAGUUAGCUUCUAGAAAGAAUGGGAAAGACAUUAAUCAUUGAUGAUCACAUAACUUACAUUGACCGUUGUCCCCCAGAUAUGUCUUUUGUGGGUCAGUGGAAGGCAGGUUUGAUUAUAUAGCAGAUAUUUUUCUGCAGGUGUGUUUCAUGGACAGCCAUAUAAGCAAUUCUAAAGUAGCAACUUUCCAUGAAGUGAACUCAAAAGUGUUCUUACUUAUGGAUUGAAUAGCUGCUAGUGUAAAAAUGGCAGAUCAUUCUGACUCUCAACUCUAUUUUGCAAACCUUGGGUCUGAAUUAGAUACGUUUCUUGACUGGGAAAAGGUCACUGGCUUUUUGUCUCUGGAGAACGGUUGUGUGCCAUGAUUGCUUACUGCUGGCUGAUUAUUAUAAAAGGGUAUAUAUCUGUGUCCCUCACUGGUUGGAGGGAAUCUGGAUCACAUGGAGACAAACAAGCCACCUGCCUUCUUCUCAGGUGAAGCCAAACAAUACAAGUGGAUUUGUGGAUCUGUGAGACUCCUGUGAGCCUGUCAGGGGGGAGCGAGAAAUCUCUCUAAGUGAUGUACUCCAGAAGCACUAAUUAUAUGAAACUGGAGCUUUCAGGAAAGGGGAACACCAGCUUUACAGUGGACUGAUCUGAUAGUUUAGAAAAGAAAUCAAGCACUGGAGGAUAGCAAAACAACUUCUCCUGGGAAGAAAAACAGAAUGACAUGCUCCAGGUCUCCAAAGGUUGUUUGUUCUUGUUGGGGGUGGGAGAGGCUAUUUCAAGUGCUGUAAAGUUAGGGCCACAGGGAAGUGUGGGGCUGGCAAUUCAGCAAGUGACAGCAGUGACUGAGGUUCCUUGUGCUUCUGGAGGCAACUCUUCAUCAAGACGAAUACUUAAAAAUUUAAUCAUUACUAGUGUCUAUAAAUUUAUCUUCAUAGUUAUUUCUGUUGAAUAGGAAAAGUUACAGAAUUUAAAAUUAAGAAUUUCUGUAAAUCGAGGGUCUGCACUAGUUCCUUUAUAUAUAAAUCAUGUCUUCUAUGGCUUCUACAUUAGCAUUUGUAUGAGGUUCCUGACAACGUGAAUGCGUUGGCCUCUGUUUCUGGUGGCCUCUCUUUGACUCUUUCCGUCUGUUGGUUUGUUCUGUCCAAUUCCAAUGUGUUACUUUUUGUUUUAUCUUUUGUACUAUGUGAAUUAUGAUAUUAUAUUAUUAUCUCUUAGAAUCCUGCUUGUUUUCUAAAGAGACAGAAAGGGAGUGGGUUUGGGAAGGAGGGGGGGAGUAGGAAAGAGUAGUGGAUGUAGAAACCAUAAUCAGGAUGCAUUAUGUCAGAAAAUAAUCAAUUUUGAACAAAAGGGAAAGGGCAUUAAGGACCACAACUUUCUGUAAACGGAGAGAAACGUGUUUGUGAGUUACUGUGAUUCUUUAUGAUAGUAUUGUUUGCAGGGAAACUGUGGUGUGCAUUACUUUUUACAACUGGGUAACGAACUGUUUAGUCCUUGAAAUUCUUUCUCUUAUGAACAGUUAGUGAAAAACAGGAAAUGGUCUAAAACUCUAAGGACACAGGAAUGUAGAAGGAAUUGUAAGUUCAGUGAAGAGUAAUAAAUCAUUUGUUUUGUGUAGAAAGACAGGAAGUAGCUAAGAAACUGGAGGCAUGUAUGAGGGGCUAACAGUCUCCUAUGGAUUCUAGCAUAUAUUUGUUGUUUGUUUUGAGACAGAGUCUCAUAUAUGCCAGGCUGGCUGAUUAUGGCUACUACUCAUUAUGUAGUUGGAGGACAUGGAACUGCUAAUUCCCUUUCCCUGCCUCCCAAUUGCUGCGAUUUCAGGUAUGGGCUCACAAUUCCCUUUAUGAGAUGGUGCACAUCAAAACCUGGGAUUCAUGCACACAUGCUAAGUAAUCUGCUCUACCAAGUGAGUUAUACCUCAGCUCCCAUAAGCUUUUCCUAAAAGAGCAGAAUAGGGUGAACUCUAGUUUGUGUCCUUUACAAAUAGACCACGUGCAAAAUGAGAUAGCAUUUAAGUUAGGUGCUUUGUAAAUGGUUAAAUAUGUGAUGUGCCCAGAGACCUUUGUCACAGAAGCACUACCAUAUGAAUGAAGAAAUGACAAAAAACUGGCAAUGGAAGGGACAUAUGAGACAACUUGGCUGCACUCACCAAGGACCAGGGCAUGACCUUCUAGAAGUACACUGCUUUGCCCUUCAGUGCUUCUAAGGUUUAAAAGUGUGAUGAGGACAACUUUCGGCAUUUUUUAUUAUUCUUAUUUAUUGUCUUCGAAAAGUUCAAGUAUGAAUUUUAUACUUUCUAAUUUUUGUAGUAAAUUCAAAAUUUUGGGGCAUAGAAUACUAAGGCACAGAGGACAUGUUCUUUGCCCUCCCAUAAACUCACUGAUCUGUAGGCUGAGGCAACCAAUCUAACAGGUCACAUAUCCUGGAAUACAGAAUGAGUCUCUGUCUAGACAAAAGAAAACUGCCAUCGCCACAAAAUAGACUAAUAAUCAUCCUAUCAUGUUUAAAAUGUGAUUUCAUUAAGAUAGUUUCAAUUUGUCUACAAUUCACUUAGAUACCAGUUUUGUCCUUUCUGGAAAGUUUGUGCUUAUCUAUUUGGGCUGCAGUCAAUGCCAUCCUAAAGGGCACCUGCUUCCUCUGGUUCUGAGAAGCUGAGAAAUGAUGUAAUAAAAUCAGCUUUUGAUACAGUAGUUCCAUGAUUUAGAACCUUGAACAUCAAGUGAGUAAACCCUUCUUUCUAAGAUGCGAUUUUUGAGAGUGAAGCAUAAAGUAGCAGGAUUGGAUUACUGUCUUUUAGACUUACCUAUUCACUAAAUGAGUUGUAUGGUGUCUUUUCUAGGCAACGUAGACUAUUGCUAGAUUCUCUCAGCCCCUUAUAACUGAGCAGUAUCUUUUCAUAAAUCCUCAGCUUUGCUAAUAUAGACUAAGACCUUCUGAUGUAACUGAUAAACAAAACCAAAACAUUAAUAAUGAAGACAUAGAAAGCAUCUGCACAGUUUUCCUGUACUGUUCCUAUAGACAUUGGAAUAAGCCGCUGACAGAAUAAGGAUUCAAACAAGCAAUAGAGGUCCUUAAGAGAGCAGCAUAAAUGAGGAUGGGGGCAGAGUCGUUUGCUCCCCAUCCUGAUCAAAUGUGUGGCUUCCUUUUACAAUGCUAGAGGACUUCAUUGGACAAUGGAAGGUAAGCAGUGUUGACUAAGUCUGUGUUCUGUGUCAUGAGACUUGUGUGCACACGCAUUCUGAGAUGUACAGUGUUUUUCAGAAUAGGUGCUUCUGGCUGAAAUCAUAGUCUCAUUAAGGCCUUUGCAGCCUCACUUGCUGGAAUCAGCAGUAUUUCAGGAAGCAGCACCCACUAAAUAGAUUCUUUCUCAUUUCAAACUGUAAGUAAAGUUUUUCGAAUCUGAAAUGUUCGCUGAGGACCAUGACUGGUUAGAAUAAAUUAAUUGUUUGAAUAAUUUAAGAAUGAGGUUCUUCGAUCUCAUGUUUCAUAGUCUUUGAAAAGUAUAUAUGUACGCUAUCCAUAAAGUACAGAGAUCUGUGAAAUAUUGUUGAAUAAAAUAUGGAGUUAGUUGUCAUUAGAGAAUUACUUAUCUCAGUACCCUUGGUCAUAGGUGCUUGCUCGCUGGCUCUCUCUCUCUCUCUCUCUCUCUCUCUCUCUCUCUCUCUCUCUCUCUCUCUGUCUUUCUGAUUUUAUAGACAUUUAUUCAUUUAUUUUCAUUUUUGCAUCCAAUCAAAAUUAGCUCACGAUUUACUAGAAAAAUGCUCUACAAAUUUUAUGUGCUUGUUAUUGGCAACUCAUAGUUACUGAACAUUCUCCAUUGGUUCUGUCCACAAGUUCAUUCAUUAGGCCAGCAAUGUCUGGGUCCUUUUUCUCCCCUUGCAUGUAAGACAUAGACAAUUUUCUUCUGUGGUCAGUUUUCUAUAGACUCCUUUUGUUAUCUGUACCUUUCUAAAGUUAAAAUCAAUGAAAACACUGAAAUCACUCUUUCCUACUGUCUAUCAAAAGAUAUUCUUGGGAAUUCACUGCUUUUUCUCAUGUCUGGUUGUGACUUUUCUUGCUUUUAUUUUAUAAGUGACCACCGUUUGUAUAAUCAAUGGUCUUUCUGGCUUGGCCACAUUCUCUUCAACAUUUUUUCUGGGUGCAGUAGCUGUGGCUGACUAGUGAAAGAUCCCCAACUACCGUCUAUUUCUUAUUUUCUUUCUUGGUUUCCUUGUAACUCCACUGGAAGACAACACUAAGUUUAUUCCUUCUGUCUUCUAUGCUUUUGUGUAUAGCAUCCUUGCCUUGCAGCUUAUGACGGUGUUGUUGGAAACAUUGUUUUAUCAACCAACACCAGGAAGCCGAAGGAUAAGCAAGGCAAAAGAAAAUCUUUGUACUGGAGGGUAAAAAUAAAAUACUUGACCAUAAUCAUCCUAUUUUCUUCCCUAAACCAUUAAUAUUCCUUUUGAGUGUCCACGAUGAAUUUUGUCUUCUCAAAUCUCCCAUGCACAGUUUCUGUACAUAGUAACAGGGAGCAUUUCUGAAGCAGAAGUUCUGUAGAGUAAACAAAAGCAAUUCAACCAAUCUGAAUGGUCUUUCAUUGAAAGAGAAGGCUUAGUUGUUAUUUCCAUGGUGCAGAAACAAAUCUUGGUUUGUUUUAUAAGACUUAGAGAUAGAAAUCUACUUCCAACUCUUCUGUAAUGCUUACAUUUUGCUUUCCUACAAAUUCAUCAAAUAGUGGUAGUAGGAAUGAUUCUGCACACAGUUAUAAAUCAAUGUCUACUGACUUUUGCAAUGAACUAGGACUAAUAGACAUUUUAAGUGCUCACUGUGGGGAGAUUGUCAUCCCCUUUCCAGUUUUCACAUUAUCUGGGCCUAUCUCUUCACACUAACUCAUCUCCUAAGGGAACUUAUUCAAGAUCAUUGUUUGAUCUGCAUCUUAAGCUCUAACCACUUUCUAAAUGUUCUACUCAGGUAUCUCUAUGUCUAGUGUUUGAGUUUCAGAUGCUGCUGGCAUGCUGCAGGUCAACUUAAAACUGUAUGUUCUUUCAAUAUACAUGCUUGCCAUUCUCCAAUUUCAUGGUGACAAUGCUUCCAUUAAAAACAGAUGAGAAAUAGCCCCCUAAAUCUGUAUACCUUGUACCUAAUCUGUCCUAGGCAUCAGAAAAACAUCUGCAUAUAAAAUAUACUCUGUAAAUUCUUAUAUUGUAAAUAAAUAGAUAAAAUAUGCUUAUUUACUCACUUUGGAUAGUCACAAUGGAGUCUGAUAAUGAUUAUGCAAAUGAUAAGUAUUUAAUGAAAAUCAUUAUAAAUGAUUGAUUAAAGUACCCCCUUUUUAUUAACAUUUUAUAUAAACAUAAUCUGAGACCUUCCAAAGUCCUUGGGGUCUGUGAAUUUGGGCAAGUUAGUAAACACCUUUGUGAAUCUGCUUCUGUAUUAUAAAUCUGGACAAUAAAUGUUAUAGGGUAAUUCUAGAAAAUUAGUGAGUUAGUGUAGAUAUAUAUAUUGACUUUCAUGUAUUAAUUGAUCUAACAACCUAAGUACAAUUUUUACAUUGAUUUAAAAGUACCAAAUAUUAAUGCUAUUUUAUGUAAGCCUUUUUAUUUCAAAGUGUUAAAAACAAACCUAUCAUAAAUUCAAUUAAAACUUUA
ensembl:lncRNA